CCCUCAUAAGUAAACAGUUUGCCUCUUUUUUUUUUUCUUCUUCUUCUUUUAGGUUAAGCUGAUUUGAUGAGAGUGAAACAGCAAUCAUGUGCUUUUCUCUUCUUCUUGGAAAGGUUUCCUUAGACUUAAAGCUUUUGCUGCUGCUUUUACAGUCCAUACUUUGACGUGCACAGUCAGCAACAACAAAAGGAGACUUUAGAUGAGAUAACCAGGAUUUGGUCUUUUUUCCUGAUGGAACUGAUUCUUGAUCCAAUUAAGGCCUUUAAUUUUCUCUUCAAGGAAAGGUGAUUUAUGAAAGCAAGCUCAAACUUUCAUGUACAGGCGAAUGAGCAGAAUAAAAAGAUAUAUUGAUGAGAGAGGAAGAAAGGUCGAGAAGUCUUUAGUUGUUGAUAAGAUCUUCAGUUAUUGGAUGUCCAGCUGGGAACUCAAUUGAAUCUCUUUAAUGAUACCAUCUUGAUUUCAAUCAGUGGUAAUUAUGGUCUCUGAAAUACUUAAGCAUAAAGAUACAAGAUUAUGCUCAUUGACCAAACAAAAAGUUUUGUCACCAACUAACCAUAGUACUAAUUUCUUUCUCUACCGACCGCAAAGCAAUGGAAUAUGCCCCAUUUUCUUUUCUAGGCAUCCAUUCGAACACCGACACGAUCAUAGCGUCCAGAAAUGUCGGUUUCUACCAAUUUACACUCUAAAAACAGCAACAUUUCCAGCUAUAAUCGUGUAUCAUUAACAGCAACAUUUGGUGUUAGGUUUUAUAUAGUAGUAUGACUGAUUGGUACUAUAGUAUUUCACUUUUUCUUUUGUUAAAUGAAUUUGUUGAAACGUAAAUAACACAAAUUAAAAACCCAAAACUAAGUGGUGUGCUUGGAUAGCGCCUGAAAUUAUUUGUUUACAUCACAAAUAUAAUUUCCAACACAUCUUUUUAUCUUCUCAAUUACCUUUUUAUUUCAUAUAUAUCACAUCAUAAAAAAUGCUAAAGUAAUUAUUUCAAAUAAUCUACUCGGUAGAGAUAUUAAAGUAGAAAUAAUGAAAAUAUGUUGGCUCUAACGUUAAUUUAAACCCACUCCCUCGGUAGCUUUGGUAGGUCUUUUCUGACAUGUUGCUGAAUGAGGUUUCUUUGUAAGAUGGCCCAGGAAAAUGAGAUCACAAUAAAUUUUCUGAUCUG